rnacentral:rRNA from 1 species
GACGAACGCUGGCGGCGUGCUUAACACAUGCAAGUCGAACGGAAAGGCCCUGCUUUUGUGGGGUGCUCGAGUGGCGAACGGGUGAGUAACACGUGAGUAACCUGCCCUUGACAUUGGGAUAACUUCAGGAAACUGGGGCUCAUACCGGAUAGGAGCUCCUGCUGCAUGGUGGGGGUUGGAAAGUUUCGGCGGUUGGGGAUGGACUCGCGGCUUAUCAGCUUGUUGGUGUGGUAGUGGCUUACCAAGGCUUUGACGGGUAGCCGGCCUGAGAGGGUGACCGGCCACAUUGGGACUGAGAUACGGCCCAGACUCCUACGGGAGGCAGCAGUGGGGAAUAUUGCACAAUGGGCGGAAGCCUGAUGCAGCAACGCCGCGUGCGGGAUGACGGCCUUCGGGUUGUAAACCGCUUUCGCCUGUGACGAAGCGUGAGUGACGGUAAUGGGUAAAGAAGCACCGGCUAACUACGUG